AAGGACAAGUGAUGAAUAAAGAACUUCUUACCUACAUUAUUUGAGUUUGAUGAAAAUAAAAUAGAUAAGAGCUGAUGUCCUU
rnacentral:snoRNA from 1 species